rnacentral:rRNA from 1 species
ACCUACGGGGGGCAGCAGUGAGGAAUAUUGGUCAAUGGUCGGGAGACUGAACCAGCCAAGCCGCGUGAGGGAUGAAGGUACAGAGUAUCGUAAACCUCUUUUGUCAGGGAACAAAGGCGGGGACGUGUCCCCGGAUGAGUGUACCUGAAGAAAAAGCAUCGGCUAACUCCGUGCCAGCAGCCGCGGUAAUACGGAGGAUUCGAGCGUUAUCCGGAUUUAUUGGGUUUAAAGGGUGCGCAGGCGGUCUGUUAAGUCAGCGGUCAAAGCCCGGGGCUCAACCCCGGCCCGCCGUUGAAACUGGCAGU